AGUGGGGAAUAUUGCACAAUGGGCGCAAGCCUGAUGCAGCCAUGCCGCGUGUAUGAAGAAGGCCUUCGGGUUGUAAAGUACUUUCAGUCGUGAGGAAGGUGGUGUUGUUAAUAGCAGCAUCAUUUGACGUUAGCGACAGAAGAAGCACCGGCUAACUCCGUGCCAGCAGCCGCGGUAAUACGGAGGGUGCGAGCGUUAAUCGGAAUUACUGGGCGUAAAGCGCAUGCAGGUGGUGGAUUAAGUCAGAUGUGAAAGCCCGGGGCUCAACCUCGGAACCGCAUUUGAAACUGGUUCACUAGAGUACUGUAGAGGGGGGUAGAAUUUCAGGUGUAGCGGUGAAAUGCCUAGAGAUCUGAAGGAAUACCGGUGGCGAAGGCGGCCCCCUGGACAGAUACUGACACUCAGAUGCGAAAGCGUGGGGAGCAAACAGGAUUAGAUACCCUGGUAGUCCACGCCGUAAACGAUGUCUACUUGGAGGUUGUGGCCUUGAGCCGUGGCUUUCGGAGCUAACGCGUUAAGUAGACCGCCUGGGGAGUACGGUCGCAAGAUUA
rnacentral:rRNA from 1 species